UACGAAGGGGGCUAGCGUUGCUCGGAAUCACUAGGCGUAAAGGGCGCGUAGGCGGAUCUUUAAGUCGGGGGUGAAAGCCCAGGGCUCAACCCUGGAAUUGCCUUCGAUACUGGAGAUCUUGAGACCGGAAGAGGUAAGUGGAACUGCGAGUGUAGAGGUGAAAUUCGUAGAUAUUCGCAAGAACACCAGUGGCGAAGGCGGCUCACUGGACCGGCAUUGACGCUGAGGUGCGAAAGCGUGGGGAGCAAACAGG
rnacentral:rRNA from 1 species